CUGGUGACUGAGGAGCUGGUCUUGUCAAAGUGUCUGGGUUUGCUGCUGGCAGAGGGGUCACAACACACAGUUGCUUUGUCUUUCCCUUCUUCACUUCCUGUAGAUGGCUGAACUGCUGCUGUAUCUGUUGAUGCGCUGCUUGUUGCAUUGACUGCUGUUGCUGUGGUUGAUUGAACAUGACACCCUGUAGAUUGGCUCCUGGUGCUCCCAGUGCUGCCAUGUCAUCAGGAGUGUGAAUGUUCUGAACAGGUGUGGUGUCUCUGUCACCCCAUUCACCACCUGUCGCACCAGGUGACUCCUCAUCAUCAGGCCUCUCCACCUCUAUAACCCCACCAGGUGACUCCUCAUCAUCAGGCCUCUCCACCUCUAUAAUCCCACCAGGUGACUCAUCAACAUCAGGCCUCUCCACCUCUAUAAUCCCACCAGGUGACUCCUCAUCAUCAGGCCUCUCCACCUCUAUAACCCCACCAGGUGACUCCUCAUCAUCAGGCCUCUCCACCUCUAUAAUCCCACCAGGUGACUCCUCAUCAUCAGGCCUCUCCACCUCUAUAACCCCACCAGGUGACUCCUCAUCAUCAGGCCUCUCCACCUCUAUAACCCCACCAGGUGACUCCUCAUCAUCAGGCCUCUCCACCUCUAUAACCCCACCAGGUGACUCCUCAUCAUCAGGCCUCUCCACCUCUUCAUCCCCACCAGGUGACUCCUCAUCAUCUGACCUCUCCACCUCUAUAACCCCACCAGGUGACUCCUCAUCAUCAGGCCUCUCCACCUCUAUAACCCCACCAGGUGACUCAUCAUCAGGCUUCUCCAUGACUAGAACCCCACCAGGUGACUCCUCAUCAUCAGGCUUCUCCAUCACUAGAACCCCACCAGGUGACUCCUCAUCAUCAGGCUUCUCAAUCACUAGAACCCCACCUGGUGACUCCUCAUCAUCAGGCUUCUCCAUCACUAUAACCCCACCAGGUGACUCCUCAUCAUCAGGCUUCUCCAUCACUAGAACCCCACCAGGUGACUCCUCAUCAUCAGGCUUCUCCAUCACUAGAACCCCACCGGGAGGGGAAUCCCACCACCUAAAGUUGGACGGGCUGCAGCAGUCUUCUAAAGUCUGACAGGGGAAACAUAAUAUAGUUUUUACAGUUUCUCAAAGUAAGGUAAAAAAAACAUUGUUAGUGGUUUACCCUCACAAAAAAUAAAAUGAGUGGAUGAUCAACCAACACUAAGAACAGAUCUCAUAUUAGUCACAUGUUGUUCUCCUUACGCUGGCUGUCAGUGGUAUUGUUUUAUA
ensembl:lncRNA